rnacentral:rRNA from 1 species
AACGAACGCUGGCGGCAGGCCUAAAACAUGCAAGUCGAACGGGUGUAGCAAUACAUCAGUGGCGCACGGGUGAGUAACGCGUGGGAACAUGCCCCUUAGUACGGGACAACGUCGGGAAACUGACGCUAAUACCGUAUAAUAUCUCCGGAUCAAAGAUUUAUCGCUGAGGGAGUGGCCCGCGUCUGAUUAGCUAGUUGGUGAGGUAAUGGCUCACCAAGGCUACGAUCAGUAGCAGGUCUGAGAGGAUGAUCUGCCACACUGGGACUGAGACACGGCCCGGACUCCUACGGGAGGCAGCAGUUAGGAAUAUUGGACAAUGGGGGAAACCCUGAUCCAGCCAUGCCGCGUGUGUGAUGAAGGCCCUAGGGUUGUAAAGCACUUUCGUUGGGGAUGAUAAUGACCGUACCCAAAGAAGAAGCCACGGCUGAAUUCGUGCCAGCAGCCGCCGUAA